AAGCUCUUCUUCUGUCACCACAUUUAUCCUGAGUCUGGUUUGGUUGACUUUCUGCCUUUUUUUUUUUUUUUUUUAACAUCCUGUUGUAUAUUUAACCUCCACACCAUAUUUCAUGCAAUAAGAAUGCAUAUCAGCUGUUGAGCAGCCAGAUUUGGAAAUCAUGGCUCUCCAGUCAUGGGAAAAGGACAGCAUGAGGAACAGCAGCAUACAGGCGUUUUCCUUCACUGCUGUCACAAAGAUUUUUACUUCAGGACUUGGCAGAGCUUUACUUGCUGCAUUUAUCAUGGUGGGCUUAGUUCCUGGUCACAGAGUCAGGUCAUACACAAAAAUCCACAUACUGUCAUUAGAAGUUCAGCACCAGAUUAAGGACAAGAGCAUGUUCCUUCUCCUUGACCAUACAGCUUGAAGCUUUCCCAGAUUUAUUCCUGGGCUCCUUCUGGAAGAGAGGUGAGCAGAGCCAUGCUCUCCACCAGCCCUGCUGCUGUUUGCCAGAGCCACCCUCACAGUGACGUUGCUUCUAGAGAGGUCUCCUGGUGUUGGCUAACCACCAACUUUUCCACAUCCCUCUACUGAAAAUGAGCUCAAAUCCCUUCAUAUGUGUUGUUGAGAAAUUGGAAUCCUUUGAAGAUUGCCCCAUCAAAUGCAGUGAAAAACAGUAGUAUGUAGGCCAAGGGAGAUUUUGCUCACAACUCUUCAGUCUAUGCCUUAUGAAGGAGAACAAGUGCUGUUAAAUAAUGACUGUCAUUAUGACUUUAGAUCAUAUGACUUUCCCUGUUGCUUGCCAGCCUCCCAGUGGACAGGACAAGGAGGAAUUGUAUUAAGUUCACAGAUGCUAUUAAACUCCAAGCAAACACACCACUGUAUGCAGAAGAAUUAGGGAACCAUGCUGAAAGGAUAUAAAAAAUGCAAUGCCUGAUCUUGAGUGAUAUACGGAGACUAAAUACAUAGAUGUGAGCCUCAAUCAAGCAGUGUGACAUACAUAAGCAACACCAGAUCCUGAUAUGAAGAACUUAUCUCACAGACUACAGCAGAUACUGCAGACAAACAGAUCUUAUUAGCUGAUGACCUCCAGCUGACAAGUUCCCAUAACUACGGUGUGACAUGGCAUUUGCUCUCCUGUACCGAAUACUUAAGGACAAGUAUGUAUUUCUAGUCAUUCCUGUCUUUUGUUUAAUUUUCCUGCAGUGGCAUAUCAACAUUGUAACUUGGCUUUGACAUCAUCAAAAUUUUUAAGUGGAUUAAGCACAGUAUUUCAUUGUCUGUAUAACUAUCGACAUAUUAAAAUGCUUUUGAAAGAAACAUAAAUGUAUUAUGGGAAAGUGGUCUUGCUUUGCCAAAGCCAUUACUUGGAGUUGCAUCAAAUUCAUUAUUUCUCUUGUUAUCCGAAGAAAAUGUGGAGAAAUUCUCUGCAAUUUAUGCACAUCUAAUAGAGCACUGUUUGCUGUCUUAAGUAUAAUCAAGAAUAUCUUUCCUAUCGAAUUAGGAAAUCUCUCUCUCCCUUUAUGACUAGUCUUCAGAGGCAAAGGGCCACAGUCAGAUUGUGAUGUGUUCAUCAGAAGGGUAAAAUUUACUCCCUAAACCUUAUGCUUGGCUGCAGAACUGUUGUUCAUAGAAGGUAUGAAUGAACUUAGACCUUGGAUAAGAAACGAAUCCAAAGACCAUAUGUGCCUCAGCUUUCCCCAAAUUUCUGCCAUAUUUGUUGUCUGAAUUUCAGAUUUAUUUAAACAUCAGUGUUGUGUUUGUAAGUUUGUUUGUUUGUUUUUUUUUUGUUUGUUUGUUUGUUUGUUUGUUUUUUAAUCUUACUUCUGUUUGGAUGCUACUGAGUUAAAAAGCAGUAGACACAGACCAUAAUGUAAUAUUGAUACACUCUAAGAAUUAGGCGGGGUGAUUUAAUUAAAUUCCAAUGGAAAGUACUUAACCUUUUUUAUUAAACAGAAAUUUAUGCACAAAAUGCAAAGACAAAAGCAGUUUGCAUUAAACAUUAACUUCUUCUAACUAAAGAGCCAUGGAGAGAUUGAUUGCAUUUGCUUAAGAGGAAGCAGUGCUGAAAAAGUCUUAAUUCAAGUGGAUUCCAUUUAAUUGUCAAGUGGCUCCAGAAAAGGAACCAAUAGCUGAGCAGAAACGAGGCUCCUGCAAUCCCUGUGCACUGCAACAGCUUUUAAUAAGAAACCUUUGUUUCUGCUGCUUUCCAAGGACCUGUGUUUGUAAUUACAGCAUGCGGAAGAUUUGUAUAUUGCAAGUAAAUUGAGUUUAUUGUUUUGAUGUCUAAAUAUCCAUAUCUAUAUUGACAGAAAUAUAGAGAAAGGGAGAUUUAUAUGUGUAUUCCUAUCCAGAAUUCCCUUGAUCAGAGAGCAGUAAUAUCUUAGCUGUGGGAAGUGAUUAUCCUCAGAAGCCCAGUGUAAGCUUACCUGUCAGACACUUUCUUUGGCCACUGUUACUAAGGAAACCACCUCUUUUGUAUGAGUGCAUUGUAGAUGCCUCUUUUUGGGACCUGAAUUUGUGAUUACAGCCAGAUACUGUUUGCCAGUUCAAUACUGAAGCUUAUUUAACCCUUGACAUUAGCAGAGAUAUAUUAAGUAGUAUAAUUUGUUUCCUGUCCCUCUUCAUUAGAGAAGCUGGUGAAGGAUGAGUUCUUCAGUGAGGGAAUACCAAGAAAAGUUCCCUUCUUCUCAGCUCUGAAAGGGUGGCUGGCAAUGCAAUCACACCCUGUGGCACACUGAGAAGAGAUUGAUUUAAGUACACUUGGAAAAUCUCUGAUACUACAUCUACAAAGAAAUGCAUAAAAGCAUCAGAUGUUAAUCAUCUAAAGUAUCAAGACAGUAAUUGUAAAAAGAACCUCAUCAUUGGUGAAGUUAUUUAUAAAUUUGUGAUAUGAGAUGAGAUGGCAUCUUCAGGUAAGAUUAUAUAUGGACUUUAACUAUUUCUGGUAUAUUAAUUCAAGUCACAUCUCCAAGCUACAAGCUCCAUGAUUCAAAAUGGGGUACCUUAAGAGAUCACUGUUGCUGCUGUACAUAGCUAUUUAUUUAAAAUCCCUCUGUCUUCACAUGAACAAAAAAACCACUUGUGAUUCCAGUUAAAUUCUUUCUUUAAGAUGAAUGUGCAAAUGUGUGGCUCAGUACACUCUUAAUAAAAACAUGUUAAGUAAUAAAAAUAGAAAUUUGCAUCUGCAAAUACCUGAAACACUGAUAUCACUGUCUAAAGGCAUGGUAAUAUUCAUUAAUUAGUCAAUGGGUAGUUCUGAGGACUGUGUAGCAGAGUUCACAUUUUACCUUAAGCUCCAUAGUGGUGAACAAUAUGUGCUGUGGGCUACAAAUAUUAUUGCUACUGGUAGAGGCAAAAGCUUGGGGCAUAAAAGCAGUUAGGGUAUACUAAUCUGACACUCUUCUCAGGAGUGCUGGAGUUAGCCCCCUUUGCCUUUCCAUAUAAUUUUGGAGACAAAAUCCACAAAUGUUUUUAGACUGCAACUCCCAUGCAGUAGCCUUAUGGAUCUGUCAAUGAGUCCUUUUUGCUUUUUUUCCUACCUUACAGGAAGGCCAAAGAAAGAUUUAACUCUAAUUAAUGAAGGUAGUUAGUUUCUGUUUUAGUAAUGGUGUUUUGCUAGAAUUCAAGAAAUUCCUAUCUUCAUUAUAUCCUGUUGGCUAAAAUACAAAUUAUUCCAACUUAAUUUUACUUUAGAGUUUUGAAAGGCACAAGACAGUGACACACGAUGCUGGCCAUAUUCUUACAUAUAUGUAGGAUGUUAGGAAAAGUCUUUUGGGAUCAAUGAUUGAAAUAGGUAGGUAUAGACGGUACUGGGAUAUAAUGCAAUUAUGAAAUAGGAAGGAAUGAUGGUAUACUUAGCUCUUAAGCUAACCUUGUAAAUAUUCACAUUGGUACUGAAACUAUAGUCAAAAUGGGACUCAGUCCUCAGAAAAUCAAAGCUCUUAAUGGUUAGCAUAUGUGUAGUCCCCUUGAUGAAUCUGCAACACCUGCUUUAUGUAUAAGGAAAAAUAAAUAUAUGUGAAAUCCCUUCCUCCUAUCUUCUUUCUAAUUAGAUGGUCACUCUUGAGGGAAAGAUUUGUCUCUUUUGUGUGCUCAUCAGUGACAAUAGUCACUGAUCUCAGCUGUGGCCUCUGUCUGUGCCACAGCACGAUCGUCCUCAUGAAAAUCAGAAAUUCAAACUGAGCUUCCUGCACAAAUGGAAAAGAAUUUUAACCACUGUUAGCAGUCAUUAUGUUUACAUUCUCCUCAUUUCUGCAUUCAAAACUAGCUGUAUUUGAUAUGUCAGCUAUUUCUAAAAUAUACAUGGCUCAUACUUAAGGAGCAGGGGACAGAGCAUGCUGGUAGAAUGCUGGACUGAAAUUCUUCGUUGGGUUCUGAAUUUUCUUACCACUUCCAAAUGUAAAAUCCAGCUCUAAUAUUCUCACCUGACUGAAGAGAAAAGAUAGCUGAACGAGCUGUACAGCCAGAUGGCCACUGUUUGCUUACAUAUUUCCUUUGUUCCCCAUGGCUAGGAGAUUUACAAACAUAAACAACAAAACUAAUUUCAUUUGGACUUUGCUAUUCAUAGAAUUUACAUCCAGAACUUAAUAUAUUCCCUUUAUUGUAGAUAAUGUGAUUAUAAUUCCUUCCAGCUCUUCCUUUUGUGUUUGCUGUCUUAUUUGGGUGGAUAUAUUUUAGGUGGAUCACUUGGAGCUAAAUGUACAAGGGUGCAGAUGCAUUUAUGGGCAUAUGAUGGAGGAAGGAAAGGGUAGUGCACAGCCAGAGCACAUCCUCAGCUUUUAGGAACAGAUGAGUUGUUGCAAAUACUUCUGAUGCCUGCAAUAUGUGCACAGUGUAAACAAGCAGUGCUGUGAGCAGCUAAUGAACUAAUGAAGCCAGAUUUCCUACAGAUUUCUGUCUCUUGAUUGACUAUAACUGAAGCACAGUUUCACAUUAUGCCUAAAAUGCUCUA